rnacentral:rRNA from 1 species
AAGCGCCUACGGGACGCAGCAGUGGGGAAUAUUGCACAAUGGGGGAAACCCUGAUGCAGCGACGCCGCGUGAGUGAAGAAGUAAUUCGUUAUGUAAAGCUCUAUCAGCAGGGAAGAAAAUGACGGUACCUGAGUAAGAAGCCCCGGCUAACUACGUGCCAGCAGCCGCGGUAAUACGUAGGGGGCAAGCGUUAUCCGGAAUUACUGGGUGUAAAGGGAGCGCAGGCGGGAAGCCAAGUCAGCUGUGAAA